rnacentral:rRNA from 1 species
UACGUAGGGCGCAAGCGUUGUCCGGAAUUAUUGGGCGUAAAGAGCUCGUAGGCGGUCUGUUACGUCCGCUGUGAAAACCCAGGGCUUAACCCUGGGCUUGCAGUGGAUACGGGUAGACUAGAGGCAGGUAGGGGAGAAUGGAAUUCCCGGUGUAGCGGUGAAAUGCGCAGAUAUCGGGAGGAACACCUGUGGCGAAAGCGGCGCACUGGACCACAACUGACGCUGAGGCGCGAAAGCUAGGGGAGCAAACAGG